GGGAGGAAUUGUCGGAGAUCAAGUCCUCAUUUAUCAACUUCCGGACAUUCUUGGGAUGAGCAGUACGCUAUUUUUUUCGAGGAGAUCUUUUCAGAUUUACUGGACGAUGUCCCCCUGGCAAAUCGACCUCGUUGGUUCCAACAAGAUGGUGCACCACCGCAUAAUACUCGGCGUGUGAGGGAAUAUCUCAACGCCUAGUUUCUUGGACGUUGGUUCGGUGUCGGCGCUGCGGUCCGCUGGCCACUACGGUCAGAUUCGUUUGACCUUAUGUAAUUAAAAAUCAUUAUAUAAAUAAAUUUUCAAGU